CCUACGGGAGGCAGCAGUGAGGAAUAUUGGUCAAUGGACGAGAGUCUGAACCAGCCAAGUAGCGUGAAGGAUGACUGCCCUAUGGGUUGUAAACUUCUUUUAUAUGGGAAUAAAAUGUUCCACGUGUGGGAUUUUGUAUGUACCAUAUGAAUAAGGAUCGGCUAACUCCGUGCCAGCAGCCGCGGUAAUACGGAGGAUCCGAGCGUUAUCCGGAUUUAUUGGGUUUAAAGGGAGCGUAGGUGGAUUGUUAAGUCAGUUGUGAAAGUUUGCGGCUCAACCGUAAAAUUGCAGUUGAAACUGGCAGUCGUGAGUACAGUAGAGGUGGGCGGAAUUCGUGGUGUAGCGGUGAAAUGCUUAGAUAUCACGAAGAACUCCGAUUGCGAAGGCAGCUCACUGGACUGCAACUGACACUGAGGCUCGAAAGUGUGGGUAUCAAACAGGAGUAGAUACCCUAGUAGUC
rnacentral:rRNA from 1 species